rnacentral:rRNA from 1 species
AAAAGAGUGGGCGUGCGUCUGAUUAGGUAGUUGGCGGGGUAACGGCCCACCAAGCCUUCGAUCAGUAGCUGAUGUGAGAGCAUGAUCAGCCACACGGGGCACUGAGACACGGGCCCGACUCCUACGGGAGGCAGCAGUAAGGAAUAUUGGUCAAUGGACGCAAGUCUGAACCAGCCAUGCCGCGUGGAGGAUGAAGGCCCUCUGGGUUGUAAACUUCUUUUCUUUGGGACGAAACCCCUGUUUCUACGGGGACUGACGGUACCAGAGGAAUAAGCACCGGCUAACUCCGUG